UCUAACGAGGUGAGGGAGAAGAGGAGACCACAAAGGGGGUGGCGGGCAAAACUAAGAAACACAAAGAGAAACAACUUGGCCGAGGCCCGAGGCCCUUUUACGAAGAAACCGGUUCUACGGAACCGGAGCGGAGACAAUUUGGGUCAGGAUGCACAAACGCUAUUUUAGUAACUCUAAAACAGGGCGUUUGGUGGGGACUUCGGCUAUAGGAACUGGUCCCAUACUUGGGAGACUGAUGGUGACGGCCAAAAGUUAGCACUUAGGUAGUUAAAUACAACAGAAAAGACAUGUCGUGAGAAAGUAGAAUGCGGGAGAAGUCCGAACUCCGCGGAAGGCGGCAGCUGCGCAAGCUUCUUUCUUUGGGAUUUGCACUUGGCUGACCCAGGAGAAGUGCGGCUCUGGGGCCACACACUGCAGAGCCUGGUUUGUCUUGUUAACUUGUUGCUAGAUAAGACUUCACCAACCCAGCCGUAGUCCCCGGGCCUUUUCCACUCUCAAACACCAGCAAUCCCAUCAGGGUGUUUUGUUUUCUGGGAUGUAGUUCAUUUAAGGCUGGGCACUCAAAUACUGCAGACAAUAUAGCAUACAUUUACUAUCACCCUGCCUCACCCCCAUGCAAGCUUGGUAGGAAUAGCAACAUUGUAUACCUCGGAGAACUACACUCAUUAUUUUGUAAUAACCUAUGAGGGAUAAGAAUCAGAAAAAGAAUACAUAUAUACACAUAUAUAACCAUAUAUAGCUCUCUGUCUCUCUCUCUAUGUAUCAACUGAAUCACUGUGCUAUACACCUGAAACUAAAUGAUGACACUGUAAAUCAACUGUACUUCAACUAAAAAAAUAAUUUAAAAAUAAAACAAAGUAGCAACAGAA